AUGCGGUACACCCCUCCCCAGCCAAGUUAGGCUGUGAAUAGGUCUUAUGUUGUUCAUGCUUGGUUUGGUUUUUGCAUGCAAGUAAGUUAUUCACUGAGAGGAGCAUCAAUCAAAGACCUUGAGUACUGGUUUGCCAUGCUUGUGCUGGACAGAGAGGCGAUAGGGGAUGGUAUCCUGGAGGAAGACUAUGCUCCUAUUGGUCUCUAUCAUCAUCUCAGUUCAAAUGGGUUUGCUCUACGCGUUGAGAGGGCUUCAAUUGCUCCGGCUGUUUCACUUCAUGUGCCAGAGCUCUCUAUGGUAGCACCCUUUGCCAACGUAGAGCAGAGCUUAUUGUUUCUGUUGAGGAGGCUGAGAGGAGGAAAUUUGAAGGUGGCUAAUGGACAAGUAAAAGUCUUGAACAAAAUUUCCCCUCUGAAUCAUUUUCUGGCAUUCAUUACUUGUUAUAUAUUUCUGAUGGUGUUGCAGAAAACUUGGUGCGUUGUGAACCCUUUGACCCGCCACGCUGAGCUACUAGCGAACCUGGACUAUGCCUGUAACCAUGUGGGAUGCUCACAGAUACAGCAGGGGGGCAGUUGCUUCUACCCAAAUACUUAUAUCCACCAUGCCUCAUUUGCUAUGAAUUUGUACUACCAGUACAUGGGCAGGCACGAGGUGGAUUGUAACUUUACAAACUCUGGACUAAUUUCCUUAAGUGAUCCAAGCUCUGGUAGCUGCACUUAUGAGAGUGAUGGAGACAUAGAAGGAAAUGGAACUUCAGAAAACGAAAUAUCGGAAACUUGGUGCGUUGUGAAACCGACAACAGAAGACUAUAUGCUGCAGGAAAAUAUAAAUUUUUCUUGCAAUCACGUAGACUGUUCCCCUAUAAAGGAUGGUGGAUCAUGCUUCCAGCCAACAACUCUAAUGAACCAUGCAGCAUUUGCCAUGAAUCUUUACUACCAGAGCACAGGCAGAGGCAGUACGAGCUGUGACUUCAGGGGCACUGGUCUAAUUGUGACCAGAGAUCCAGGUUAUGGAAAUUGCACUUUUUGAGUAGGUGAACUGUGCUGCGUUGUGAUGAUAUUAUGGUAAUAAAAGUGUGGAAGAAACCUCCUCCUGAUUCCAUCUACUGUAACAAUAAAGAAAAAGAAAUUGUGAUUAUGGCUUCUAAUUACUUGGCACAUUUUUGUAGUUUUUGGUUCCAUAAUCCCAAAAAAGACUCUCUGUUGAAUAAUGAGCAAUCAAAUAGAGGUUUCGGUAAAAAAUUAUUGUCUGCCAUAUAAGCAAUAUGAGAAAACUUUUAUUUCUUACCAUAUGUAAAUAGAC
rnacentral:misc_RNA from 1 species